GAUCCCUUGCGGGCGUCUCCAGCCCCGGGGCAGCCGACGGUGCUGGCUGGCGGCAGCCAAGGCGUGCUGCGUUGGCCCGGAGGCUGGCAGACGCACCCGGCAGGCGCUGGGCCCAGCCACAUGAAAGGCAGAGCGCUCCACCCGCCAGCUGCCUUUAGCUGGGUUCUGACGCCGCCGUCAUGCACCCCAAGACCGGGCCAUCGAAGGGCCACCUUCCUCCCCAGGCAUAGGGAUCCUUAAGGAGCUCCAGCCCCGGGGCCGGGUGGCCCACAGUGGGAGCACACUGUUUCCCCUGCCAGGCUCCCAGGUUCCCAGGCUCCAAGACGAAGACGCGCACCAGCACCGAGGCUUUGCUGACUGACCGCUUGUCUCUUAAUUCUUGCCUGACAUAGACAUUCCCUGCCCAGGGAAGUGUUUGAUUUAUGUUGAGGUUUGAGUGUCCGGAUUUUGCUGACAGUUAUUCAAGUGAGUUCUUGGAUUCUCACAGUAACCCACUGUAGUGGAUAUUACUGCACCCCUUCCUUCCCAACACACCUUACAGGUGGGGAAACUGAGGCGCAGAGAAGGAAAGUGAUUUGCUCAAGGUGAACGGUGGAGCUGGGACUUGAACCUGGGCUGGAAUUACUCCAGAACAUCUGGCAGCCACAAUCUGGUGUACAAACAUGCUGGAAGCCUUGUUGGUGAAGCCGUGCCUUGACGGUGAUGAGACCCAGGUCUGCCCAUCUGUCAUAGCAUCUCAGACUCUUCUGGAAGGACCACCUGAUCAUCUUCUAGUCCGACAGCUAGGACCACUGCCUCGCAGGGAGUAUAGGUAACUUGUCUGAGCCGGUCCUGGGAAGGGCAGAGCUCAGCCUCUCCGUCCUUGUCUGUGGGAAAGAGGCCAGUUCUAGCAGUAGAGCUUGUUAUGGGGGACUCGGUUUCCCAAUCAUUGUCAUGACCAAUGGCCGGUAACCAUGAACUCUUCCCUCCUUUUCCUUCUGUCCAGCAAAUGCAGCAUCCCAAUGCAGCCAGUCGUGAAGAGAACAUUUCCAUAGGAAUUCUGCAAUAUGGAUUUCCUCUCCAGGCCCCAGUCCAGUCCAAGCCAGUUCCUCUUCUGGCUGGGAAGUUUCUUUCCUCUUCCCACUUCCAUGAAACUAUUAGGCUCAGCUCAAGCCCACUCCUUUCUCCCUUCUCCUCCUACCUUCCUCAGGCAGUAGCUCUCUCUUCUUCACAGCUCCUGGCUCUGCCGCCCCAUCCCCACCUCCACACCCCUGCUGGACCCCAGUCCCUCAGGAAUUCUCUAGAGUCACAUCAAGGAAUCCCACAGAUGCAUCCUGGACAACACAGGAAUGCCAAAGACAUUCCAGGCAAAAAAGGUUCUGGGAUCAAACCAUUUGGGCAAAGCUGCACACCAGACCUUCUUCUUCAAAAUUAAUGUGCAGUCAAGUCCUUGGAAAGGCUAGCAGUCAGGAAACUGUUUUGUUUGCUUUUUCAACCCAGGGUUUCUGGAACUGUGAUAACCACAUAAUCAUCUUCCCUGUCCCUACCGCAUACCUGUGACAACAGGAAAAAAACCAGUGAUCUACUGGAGAACACACUUCCGAAAAUUCUACCCCAGCCUUCCGCCCGAGUUUGCAGUUAAUCUCGCUUUCAUUGAUUUCAGCCUUUCCUUUUUCUUGGGGCUAAUCUCACAAAAUAAUCUAAGGCAAUGUCAGCCGAGUAGAGUCUUCAAGAAACAUAUACUUGAUGGGGAUGAAGAUUUUCUUAAGACUUGAUUAUGAUGCCCAGAAUACAUCAAGGAUUUUCUAGAAUGUGGGAGGAAGGGGAGUAGAAUUUGAAAUAACAGCAUAUCAUCUUUACCCAAUUUUUAUUAGUUUCCUAGUCAGAGGACCAAAGCCAGGGAUGGAAAGUAAUGGAGAAUAAUCAAACCAGACCUUGGUCACAGACAGAUUGUUUUUGAGUGAAUGAGUGAACAGACUUUCUGACUGGUCAGAAGUUUGGGAGGCUGUGAAUGAAUGCCUGCACGUACGUGUGAAUGAAUGAAGGAAGAUUGAAAAACUGGUCCCCAGAUUAGAACCUACCACCCAUGUUCAAUGGAAGAAGCCAGACAUAAACAGAGGACACUGUGAAUGUUUCUACUUAUAUGAAGGUCAAGAACAGAUCAAGCUACUCUACUAUGGAAAACACAGAGCUGUGGUUGCCUUUGUAGAGUAGGCAUUGACUGGAAAGGGAAAAAAGGGCUUUGGGGUGGAUAGAAAUAGUUUCUGUCUUGAUUCCGGGGAUGGUUACACUAGUGUAUACUUUUGUCAAAAUUCACCAAAUUGUACAUUUAAGAUCUGUGCACUUACCUGUAUUGUCCAUUUCAUCUAAAAAUAAAAAUCUGGCUAU